rnacentral:rRNA from 1 species
GACGAACGCUGGCGGCGUGCUUAACACAUGCAAGUCGAACGGUAAGGCCCUUCGGGGUACACGAGUGGCGAACGGGUGAGUAACACGUGGGUGAUCUGCCCUGCACUUCGGGAUAAGCCUGGGAAACUGGGUCUAAUACCGGAUAGGACCACUGCCUGCAUGGGUGGUGGUGGAAAGCUUUUGCGGUGUGGGAUGGGCCCGCGGCCUAUCAGCUUGUUGGUGGGGUGAUGGCCUACCAAGGCGACGACGGGUAGCCGGCCUGAGAGGGUGACCGGCCACACUGGGACAGAGAUACGGCCCAGACUCCUACGGGAGGCAGCAGUGGGGAAUAUUGCACAAUGGGCGCAAGCCUGAUGCAGCGACGCCGCGUGAGGGAUGACGGCCUUCGGGUUGUAAACCUCUUUCAGCACCGACGAAGCGCAAGUGACGGUAGAUGCAGAAGAAGGACCGGCCAACUACGUGCCAGCCGCCGCGGUAAUAC